ACUUAAAUUUUAAGCUUCUACACCUAAAAAUAAUUUUAAUCCAACAUCGAGGUCGCAAACUUUUUUAUUAAUAUGAACUUUUAAAAAAAAUUACGCUGUUAUCCCUAAGGUAAUUUAAAUUUUUAAUCAAUAAAAUUGGAUCAAUYAUUCAKUAAUUUAUGGUUUAAAAUAAUAAAAGGUUUUUAAAUUUUAUUGUCACCCCAACAAAAUAUUAUUAAUUAUAAAAAUUUAAUUUUUCUUAAAAAUUUAUUUAAUUUAAUAAUAUAAAACUCUAUAGGGUCUUCUCGUCUUUUAAUUACAUUUAAGCAUUUUUACUUAAAUUAUAAAUUUUACUAUAAUUUUUAUGAUACAGCUUAUUUUUCGUUCAACCUUUCAUACAAGUUUUCAAUUAAAAAACAAAUGAU
rnacentral:rRNA from 1 species